rnacentral:sRNA from 1 species
GGAUACCAAAGGUCUCACCCACAAAGAAGAAAUGAAAAAGAAAUGUUUCUAGACAGAUGGAGUUGUUUUUUUUUUUCAAAACAUGCUACCUGAAUAUGUUGUGACUCCUGAUUGCCACAUUGGCUAUUCGAUGGACCAAUUAUGUUUCAUGCUUUCCUGUAUUGUGAGUUGGCAUGCUUGUUUUGUUUUAGACAUCAAAUGAGUUUAAACGACAACUAAAUUAUUGUAAACUAUUUAUUAGUAAAGUCCCCAUUUUUUGUUCCGUUUGUCAGUUCUUGUAAUUUGUAAAUAUUUGACAAUUUUAUCCUUUUUUUUUAACUCUGUAAAACUGUGAAUGAAAAACAAGAAAUUGUUAAUGUUUUUAUUGUUUGAAUUAUAAGGUCAAUGUAUUUAGUUGUAUGCAAGUAAUUUUGAGAUAUUUGCACACAUGGAAAAACUAGUUGCUUAGACUGGCUUGCAUGUCUUUUAUACAAAUGCUAUUUUUAUCUGCAAUCUAUUCAUUUUAAAUGAAUACAUUUUUAUUUUUUAUAUUCUGGAGCUGAUUUGAGAAUGAGAAUGUAUUCUUUCUAUUUUGAUUGCCAUAGUCCCUAAGUAUUUGUCUUGAUGUAGACUGUAGAGCUUGAAGAUAUUUAAUUCAAUGAAUGUAACAGGUUAUAUAUGUUUAUACAAUUAUGUGGGGAGACUUAAUAACAGUUCAACUAGAUUUACUUGAAAGUCCUGUAAGCACAAGUUAUUAUCUUGUUACACUCAUGAUACUGCACUAUUCUAACCCAACUUUGUUACACUAUAACAAAUGAUGACUUGAUGCACUAGCCACAAGAGACUCACCCAAGCAAACAGUAAUUGGGAAAUUCUAAAUGGAAGUGCCAUAACUCAUGCUGUCUGCUCUCCGCUUUUGGGGGAAAAAACUGAGAGCUAGAAUGGUUUGAUGAACUGGUACAUUAAUCUUGUUCGAUAAGGCUGUGUGCAUAUUGUAUUCAUUUUUGUAUUUAUAACUUUUAUUGAUCAGUAAAAAAAAAUAUAUGCUUUGUUAGUGUAGAAAGGGAGAAGGAAUUAUUUGAUUUUUAUUGUAUUCAAUGCUUUCGUAUAAGAACUAUUUACUGAUUGUGUGUAAUCUAUUAUUUAACUUUUAGUAUUCAAUUGGUGCUGAGUUUUAAUCACAUACCUCUUGAGUUCAAUGCAGAAAACAUUCUCUCUGCACUAGCUUUUAUUUAUACACAUAGCCAUUGUUUUUAAACACAGAUUUACAAGAAAUAGAUAUAUUAUUAGAUCAGGAAAUAUUUAAACAUCCAUUUUAAAUACAUUUUCUUGUAGAGUUUUAAAAAUCUCUUAUUAAUUAGCUUUUAGUGGAAGUACUUUGAAAUUCAGACUGCUCAUAAUCAUGAUAGUCUAGAGUUUCAAGUUUCUGUCAGAUGUUAUAUCAAUGUCAUGUUCAUAGAAACACAUUUGAUCUAAUCAGUACCACUUAUAUAUCUACAUUGGAAUGGCUUUUAGACAGUUUGUUAAAGUUGUACCUUUUAACAAAUCAAACAAUAAAUGAUUAUGAUGUUUAGAAACUGUAUAGAAUAAGUGCAAGGACUAUAUCUCAAUGUUAUAUUAUCCCAUUAUUUUUAUUAUUAAAAAAUACAUUACUUGUUAUAAAAAGCAGUAAAAGAAUGUUAAUACUACAAUUUCUAUAGUAAAUUUAUAACAGGUGAGGAAAGAAAAGGGAAUGGGGGGUGAGUAAAGUUGAGCCUGACUAUCAGUUAGCUUCUGUGCUUUAUAGUUUUAUUUUAACUAGCUGUGCAGGCAUAAUUGUUCAAUGAUGAGGCCAGUGUAUUUGAUUGUGAAGAGAGAGAAAGUGAUAGUGGAUUGUAGACAAAGAGAAAGGUGAUAUUUAAAACUUGAUUAUCUCUUAAAGCAAAAGAUUACAGGCUUUGUCUGCUUGUGGCACUGACCUAUAUUUUAAAACUCAAUGUAUUGUAUGUUUUAACUGCAGGGCUACUGCGUAGGGGAAAUGUCUGUCAAAAAUUCAAUGUCAAUAAAUAAAUAUAUUGAGAAUCUCAUG